rnacentral:rRNA from 1 species
UGGGGAAUAUUGCACAAUGGGGGAAACCCUGAUGCAGCGACGCCGCGUGAACGUAGAAGGUAUUCGUAUCGUAAAGUUCUGUCCUAUGGGAAGAUAAUGACAGUACCAUAGAAGAAAGCUCCGGCUAAAUACGUGCCAGCAGCCGCAGUAAUACGUAUGGAGCGAGCGUUGUCCGGAAUUAUUGGGCGUAAAGGGUACGCAGGCGGUUUAAUAAGUCGAAUGUUAAAGAUCGGGGCUCAACCCCGUAAAGCAUUGGAAACUGAUAAACUUGAGUAGUGGAGAGGAAAGUGGAAUUCCUAGUGUAGUGGUGAAAUACGUAGAUAUUAGGGGGAAUACCAGUAGCGAAGGCGACUUUCUGGACACAAACUGACGCUGAGGUACGAAAGCGUGGGGAGCAAACAGG